rnacentral:rRNA from 10 species
GCUUACGGCCAUACCACCUUAGGCACGCCCGAUCUCGUCUGAUCUCGGAAGCUAAGCAGGGUCGGGCCUGGUUAGUACUUGGAUGGGUGAACGCCUGGGAAUACCAGGUGCUGUAAGCA